AGCUACGUUGUGCACUACUGGGCUAAUGCAGAGAGCUUCUGGCUUUCAUGGAGAAGAUCGGUGCUUCAGCAGAUCGCAGUUAAGUUGUCAAACCAAUGCAAAUGGUUUGACAACUUACCCUGGGAGGGGGUCAGGGCACUUCUGGCACUAUAACCACUACAGCAUGCUGUGGUAUCUAUGGUGCUUGGAGUGUUCCCUCAACCUUUGUAGAGUAUAACUAAGCUGAG